AAAACUCCCCCCCGAAGUGUUUCAAAUAGCACUUUGUCUCCAAACGAACAAGAUGGACACAUGCAGUUUACAGAAGCAAAAGACCACACAUACUCAAGAGAAAAUACAAGACUAUUAUCCACAAAAUGUAACAGUCUUAUUUUGAUGAAUUGUUGAACCAGAGAAAUGUGAAGACUUACAGACACCUAGACUGUAUAGUCAACAUAACAAUGAUUAGAGAAUCAGACUACAGUGAACAUUACAAUGAUUAGAAAAUCAGACUAGAGUCAACAUUACAAUGAUUAGAGAAUCAGACUAUAGUCAACAUUACAAUGAUUAGAAAAUCAGCCAGCUGCAUUUCAUCAAUCAGUUUAUGAUGAAGCUUUACAGCAUUGGAAAUGAUUACUCGGGGACCAAACAACUGAGCAGAAAGAAGAACCGUAUGACCUUGAAGAGUAAGCAAUGUAUUAAGUAUAUUUGGGGUUACCAAAGAGUAUGGUAAGAACCUCAUCUUAAAUUAUACUUGAUUGCAGCAGUGGGAUGUUACAGUCAUAGACGUUGGAUAGACUCCGUUGUACUAGGCCAGGGAGGGUAGCGCAGAGUUUCCGCAGCACUAUACAAUAGUAGCAAGAUCACUCUACCAUGAGCUUGUUAAAGGGCCCGUUUGAUGAAAGUGACACCAACAUUCUCCACAACACUACAGAUUUGUUUUUGCAGAUGCAGCCGAGAGGAUGUUUCAGUCAUGGACUCAUUUGAUGGAAGUGGCACCAACAUUCUCAAACACUAAUAAUUUACAAAUUUGUUUUUGUUGUAGAUGCAACCUCAGUCAUACACCCUAGAGUUUGGCUAUGUUGUGACAGAAGAAGAGUGGCAUAUAGACUUCUGUAUGUCCAUUUUUAUGGAAGUGACAAAUUACUAAUCUUUCUUCUUAUAUCCAUUUCAGAGUUCUUACAAAGAUGCAUAGAUUGCAGCAGUGGGAUGUUACAGUCAUAGACGUUGGAUAGACUCCGUUGUACUAGGCCAGGGAGGGUAGCGCAGAGUUUCCGCAGCACUAUACAAUAGUAACAAGAUCACUCUACCAUGAGCUUGUUAAAGGGCCCGUUUGAUGAAAGUGACACCAACAUUCUCCACAACACUACAGAUUUGUUUUUGCAGAUGCAGCCGAGAGGAUGUUUCAGUCAUGGACUCAUUUGAUGGAAGUGGCACCAACAUUCUCAAACACUAAUAAUUUACAAAUUUGUUUUUGUUGUAGAUGCAACCUCAGUCAUACACCCUAGAGUUUGGCUAUGUUGUGACAGAAGAAGAGUGGCAUAUAGACUUCUGUAUGUCCAUUUUUAUGGAAGUGACAAAUUACUAAUCUUUCUUCUUAUAUCCAUUUCAGAGUUCUUACAAAGAUGCAUAGAUUGCAGCAGUGGGAUGUUACAGUCAUAGACGUUGGAUAGACUCCGUUGUACUAGGCCAGGGAGGGUAGCGCAGAGUUUCCGCAGCACUAUACAAUAGUAACAAGAUCACUCUACCAUGAGCUUGUUAAAGGGCCCGUUUGAUGAAAGUGACACCAACAUUCUCCACAACACUACAGAUUUGUUUUUGCAGAUGCAGCCGAGAGGAUGUUUCAGUCAUGGACUCAUUUGAUGGAAGUGGCACCAACAUUCUCAAACACUAAUAAUUUACAAAUUUGUUUUUGUUGUAGAUGCAACCUCAGUCAUACACCCUAGAGUUUGGCUAUGUUGUGACAGAAGAAGAGUGGCAUAUAGACUUCUGUAUGUCCAUUUUUAUGGAAGUGACAAAUUACUAAUCUUUCUUCUUAUAUCCAUUUCAGAGUUCUUACAAAGAUGCAUAGAUUGCAGCAGUGGGAUGUUACAGUCAUAGACGUUGGAUAGACUCCGUUGUACUAGGCCAGGGAGGGUAGCGCAGAGUUUCCGCAGCACUAUACAAUAGUAACAAGAUCACUCUACCAUGAGCUUGUUAAAGGGCCCGUUUGAUGAAAGUGACAACAACGUUCUCCACGACACUACAGAUUUGUUUUUGCAGAUGCAGCCGAGAGGAUGUUUCAGUCAUGGACUCAUUUGAUGGAAGUGACACCAACAUUCUCAAACACUAAUAAUUUACAAAUUUGUUUUUGUUGUAGAUGCAACCUCAGUCAUACACCCUAGAGUUUGGCUAUGUUGUGACAGAAGAAGAGUGGCAUGUAGAUUUCUUUUAUGGAAGUGCAAAUAACUAAUCUUUCUUCUUCAUAUCUAUUUCAGAGUUCUUACGAAGAUGUAUAGGUAUGCAGUAUUUAUUAUUUUUGUCUCUGUGUAUUUUUGUCAAUGAGGUAAAACCACAGAACAAAUCAAUCAGAAGUAUUAACUGGUGUAAUUUGAGAACACCCUGGAACACGAGAAAUAUCCUACCUCACAAAAUUUAACA